UCUAGCAUCCUGUUUCAGUUCCUGCAGAGCAUUCAUCGCUGUUCAAAAUCAUCUUCUUUAUUUAUUGGGUUACUUUAUUUAUUCAGGGUGGGUUCCCUCCACCCCAAAAAUACCAGCUCCAGGAAAACCAUGGUAUCUCCCCAGCACUUUGCAGGGCCUGGCAUGUGGAAGAUGUACCAGUAAUAUUUGCUGUAUGAAUGAAUGAGUCUCUUCAUGUGCAGGUGACUUAUCCUGCCUCUGCCACUCGACGGAUGUUUCAGAUGCCCCUUAGCGGAUCUAAUGAUGUUUCCUUGGCUCAAGCACAAAAGACUCCUGCUUAGCUGGGGAAGCAGGGCCAGCUAAUCGGCCUGCCCACAGACACAAGAGGAGAGGGCUUUCAGUGAGUCCUUGACUGUUCCCCAAGUUGAAGACCUCACAGGCGCAGCCUUCACGGGUUUCCCCUUAGCCUCGGGAACCUCCUGGGGGCAGAGCGGGCUGACUGGGAAGGAAGCUGAGGCCACAGACCCUCUGCAGAGCGGCAGGGUGGCCCUGGCCUGGGCAAGGCAUCCCCCACCCAUGGGGGUCACCCGAGUCAGAUGGGGCCAGUUUUCCCCACAGAACACGAUGUAGGUCUUCAUUGGUGGGGUGACAAGCCCUCGAUUGGGACUGGGGGCUUGGGGUGGUG
rnacentral:lncRNA from 1 species